ACAACAUUCGGACCGUCGGUCUACCGAGCAAUAUCACUCGCUCGGUGGAAGAUCUUCCUUUCAUCGU
rnacentral:pre_miRNA from 1 species